CCUACGGGUGGCAGCAGUGGGGAAUAUUGGACAAUGGGGGGAACCCUGAUCCAGCGACGCCGCGUGAGUGAAGAAGUAUUUCGGUAUGUAAAGCUCUAUCAGCAGGGAAGAAAAUGACGGUACCUGACUAAGAAGCCCCGGCUAACUACGUGCCAGCAGCCGCGGUAAUACGUAGGGGGCAAGCUUUAUCCGGAUUUACUGGGUGUAAAGGGAGCGUAGACGGUGAAGCAAGUCUGAUGUGAAAGGUCGGGGACCAAACCCCGGACUGCAGUGGAAACUGUUGAACUGGAGUACAGGAGAGGUAAGCGGAAUUCGUAGGGUAGCGGGGAAAUGCGUAGAUAUUAGGAGGAACUCCAGUGGCGAAGGCAGCUUACUGGACUGUAACUGACGUUGAGGCUCGAAAGCGUGGGGAGCAAACAGGAUUAGAUACCCUUGUAGUC
rnacentral:rRNA from 1 species